AAGUCGUUACAAGGUUUCCGUAGGUGAACCUGCGGAAGGAUCAUUAACAUCUCUUUUACUCUUUGGGUUUAGUUUGUGUUGUUUGUUUUUAUUAACAGAUGCACAUUCUACUCUCAUUUCACCCCAAAUGUGCAUUGUGUUGUGCUUUUCGAGUCAAAUCAAAAGCACUUCUUUUUUAUCUAUCUAUACUAAAUAAACCCCUUUUUAUUACUUCUAGACUGACUUUAAACCACUUGAUUCGUACACUUCAUACUGUACGAUGACCAAUCAUAAUACAACUCUUAGCAACGGAUAUCUAGGCUCUC
rnacentral:misc_RNA from 1 species